UCAAACAAAGGGAGCAGCCUGGCCACUACCACCUCCUCCAAUAACCUCUGCACUCUCUAUAACCUACCACCACCACCUUCUUUUAUCGAUGCUGCAAAAUUUCCCGGUCGCACCAUUAGCGGCGCUACCAUGUUUUUCGGCUUACCAUUACCUUGCUCUUCUCCUGUACAGCGCAUCAAGGUGGAAAUAAGGGUACGUUUUCGAAUCUUC
rnacentral:lncRNA from 1 species